UGUAUUAUCUGGCAGGGGAGGGGAGGAUACCAUGAACCUGAAAGUGGUUUUCCCAGGCAAGUUUUCAUUGCACCCAAAGGUGUGCUUACUGCUGUGAUUUCUCAUAAUACGGGAAACUUGACUGAAUAAUUUAUGGCAGUGAGAGAAGCAUGAAUACAGCCUCCCU